CCUACGGGUGGCAGCAGUGGGGAAUAUUGCACAAUGGGGGAAACCCUGAUGCAGCGACGCCGCGUGAGUGAAGAAGUAUUUCGGUAUGUAAAGCUCUAUCAGCAGGGAAGAAAAUGACGGUGUCUGACUAAGAAGCCCCGGCUAACUACGUGCCAGCAGCCGCGGUAAUACGUAGGGGGCAAGCGUUAUUCGGAUUUACUGGGUGUAAAGGGAGCGUAGACGGUGUGGCAAGUCAGAAGUGAAAGCCCGGGGCUCAACCCCGGUAGUGCAUUUGAAACUGUGUGACUUGAGUGCAGGAGAGGGAAGCGGAAUUCCUGGUGUAGCGGUGAAAUGCGUAGAUAUCAGGAGGAACACCAGUGGCGAAGGCGGCUUACUGGACUGUAACUGACGUUGAGGCUCGAAAGCGUGGGGAGCAAACAGGAUUAGAUACCCUGGUAGUC
rnacentral:rRNA from 1 species